GGUUUUAGAGUUUGGACCUGGCUCAGGACGAACGCUGGCGGCGUGCUUAACACAUGCAAGUCGAACGGAAAGGCCCUGCUUGCAGGGUACUCGAGUGGCGAACGGGUGAGUAACACGUGGGUGAUCUGCCCUGCACUUCGGGAUAAGCCUGGGAAACUGGGUCUAAUACCGGAUAGGAACCAUUUUUAGUGUGAUGGUUGGAAAGUUUUUUCGGUGUAGGAUGAGCUCGCGGCCUAUCAGCUUGUUGGUGGGGUAAUGGCCUACCAAGGCGGCGACGGGUAGCCGGCCUGAGAGGGUGGACGGCCACAUUGGGACUGAGAUACGGCCCAGACUCCUACGGGAGGCAGCAGUGGGGAAUAUUGCACAAUGGGCGCAAGCCUGAUGCAGCGACGCCGCGUGGGGGAUGACGGCCUUCGGGUUGUAAACUCCUUUCGCUAGGGACGAAGCUUUUGUGACGGUACCUAGAUAAGAAGCACCGGCUACUACGCAGACGACCGC
rnacentral:rRNA from 1 species